AUUGAACGCUGGCGGCAUGCCUUACACAUGCAAGUCGAACGGCAGCACGGGAGCAAUCCUGGUGGCGAGUGGCGAACGGGUGAGUAAUAUAUCGGAACGUGCCCAGUCGUGGGGAUAACGUAGCGAAAGCUACGCUAAUACCGCAUACGAUCUAUGGAUGAAAGCGGGGGAUCGCAAGACCUCGCGCGAUUGGAGCGGCCGAUAUCAGAUUAGGUAGUUGGUGAGGUAAAGGCUCACCAAGCCGACGAUCUGUAGCUGGUCUGAGAGGACGACCAGCCACACUGGGACUGAGACACGGCCCAGACUCCUACGGGAGGCAGCAGNGGGGAAUUUUGGACAAUGGGCGCAAGCCUGAUCCAGCAAUGCCGCGUGCAGGAUGAAGGCCUGGUGUAAGNACUUCUAGUCGAC
rnacentral:rRNA from 1 species